ACUCCUACGGGAGGCAGCAGUGGGGAAUCUUGCGCAAUGGACGAAAGUCUGACGCAGCCACGCUGCGUGAGUGAAGAAGGCCUUCGGGUUGUAAAGCUCUGUCGAGCGGGACGAAAAAUUAUUAGGUGAAUAGCCUAGUAAUCUGACGGUACCGCUAAAGGAAGCACCGGCUAACUCCGUGCCAGCAGCCGCGGUAAUACGGAGGGUGCAAGCGUUGCUCGGAAUUAUUGGGCGUAAAGGGUAGGUAGGCGGUCUCAUUUGUCUGGGGUGAAAGCCUUGGGCUUAACUCAAGAAGUGCCCCAGAAACGGUGAGACUGGAGUCCUGGAGAGGGUCGUGGAAUUCCCGGUGUAGCGGUGAAAUGCGUAGAGAUCGGGAGGAACACCAGAGGCGAAAGCGGCGACCUGGACAGGCACUGACACUCAACUACGAAAGCGUGGGGAGCAAACAGGAUUAGAUACCCUGGUAGUCCACGCUGUAAACGAUGGGUACUAGGUUUGGAGGGUCUUGACCCCCGCCGAACCGGCGCUAACGCACUAAGUACCCCGCCUGGGAAGUACGGUCGCAAGACUAAAACUCAAAGGAAUUGACGGGGGCCCGCACAAGCGGUGGAUCAUGUGGUUUAAUUCGAAGCAACGCGAAGAACCUUACCUGGAUUUGACAUCCUCUGACAACCCUAGAGAUAGGGCUUCUGUAGCAAUACAGCAGAGAGACAGGUGCUGCAUGGCUGUCGUCAGCUCGUGUGGUGACAUGUUGGGUUAAGUCCCGCAACGAGCGCAACCCUUGUCCUUAGUUGCCAGCAUUCAGUUGGGCACUCUAAGGAGACUGCCGUGGUGAACACGGAGGAAGGUGGGGAUGACGUCAAGUCCUCAUGGCCUUUAUAUCCAGGGCGACACACGUGAUACAAUGGACGGUACAGAGGGACGCCAAGAGGCAACUCGGAGCUAAUCUCAAAAAGCCGUUCUCAGUUCGGAUUGGAGUCUGCAACUCGACUCCAUGAAGUUGGAAUCGCUAGUAA
rnacentral:rRNA from 1 species